ACGGGUGAGUAACACGUGAGUAACCUGCCCUUGACUCUGGGAUAAGCCUGGGAAACUGGGUCUAAUACCGGAUAUGACUCCUCAUCGCAUGGUGGGGGGUGGAAAGCUUUUGUGGUUUUGGAUGGACUCGCGGCCUAUCAGCUUGUUGGUGGGGUAAUGGCCUACCAAGGCGACGACGGGUAGCCGGCCUGAGAGGGUGACCGGCCACACUGGGACUGAGACACGGCCCAGACUCCUACGGGAGGCAGCAGUGGGGAAUAUUGCACAAUGGGCGCAAGCCUGAUGCAGCGACGCCGCGUGAGGGAUGACGGCCUUCGGGUUGUAAACCUCUUUCAGUAGGGAAGAAGCGUAAGUGACGGUACCUGCAGAAGAAGCGCCGGCUAACUACGUGCCAGCAGCCGCGGUAAUACGUAGGGCGCAAGCGUUAUUCGGAAUUAUUGGGCGUAAAGAGCUCGUAGGCGGUUUGUCGCGUCUGCUGUGAAAGACCGGGGCUCAACUCCGGUUCUGCAGUGGGUACGGGCAGACUAGAGUGCAGUAGGGGAGACUGGAAUUCCUGGUGUAGCGGUGAAAUGCGCAGA
rnacentral:rRNA from 1 species